UACGUAGGGUGCAAGCGUUAUCCGGAAUUAUUGGGCGUAAAGAGCUCGUAGGCGGUUUGUCGCGUCUGCUGUGAAAACUGGAGGCUCAACCUCCAGCCUGCAGUGGGUACGGGCAGACUAGAGUGCGGUAGGGGAGAUUGGAAUUCCUGGUGUAGCGGUGGAAUGCGCAGAUAUCAGGAGGAACACCGAUGGCGAAGGCAGAUCUCUGGGCCGUAACUGACGCUGAGGAGCGAAAGCAUGGGGAGCGAACAGGAUUAGAUC
rnacentral:rRNA from 1 species